rnacentral:lncRNA from 1 species
UCUUCCACCUAUUCCCUCUAUUAUUUCUGAUAAAAUAGUGGAUAUAGUUGGUUAUGCUGUUUACAACCACCAUAUUUUGCUCUCGUUGAGAUCCAUCUCAGGAUAUGAAGUCAUUGCAUUCCAUGUUAGAACUGAGAAAUGGUGUCAUGUGGAAGUAGAUACAUCUAGUGACAUGGCAUGUUCACAUUUUCCUUUCCGAGGGAGGGCGGUGGUUUUGGGCAAUCGGAUGUAUGCUUCAUCCAAGGCAUUCGCGGUGGUUCUUGAAUUUUUCUUCGAUUGUGAAGCUUAUUCUUUAACUCCAAAGUUGGUGUUUCCGAGGUUGAAAAGAAUGCACCUUGCAAACAUGGAUAUUGGUGUUCAGACAGAGUAUUUGGUUCAUUUGGGUGGCUGGGAUUUUUGUCUUGUCCAGAGUGCCUACGACUACAAGAGGAUUGAUCGUCAGCCUUUGUGGAUCACCACGUUCCGAAUCAUUGUUGGAAGCGGAGGAAGUAGCAACAUCGAGAUCUUGCAUUCAACUCUUCGUGAUGUGUACAUCCAUAAUGCUUGGCGUUUUCUGGUUGAUUUGAGCUUCACGCCGUAAGUUUCUUGCUUCCUUCCUUCCUUCCUUUCUCAAUGUGUUUGUCUUUCUAUAAAUUGUUUCAAUAUAUUUGAUUAUUUUGUGACUCAGAGAUUGCAAGAAUAGUGAACGCGAAAGAGAAGAAGAAGAAACAAGGUGCUAGGGAAAGGACACAAAGGGACUCAAAGGGAAAGUGUGGGGGAACACUUCUUCCUCCCAGAAAAAAAUCAUAUGAACCCACAGAUUCUCAGUUCAAUGCGGUUCAGUUGUGUAUUUAUGUGUUUCCAAUUGUGAGAGUUUUCUUUUUGAGCUAUGAAUAUUGUGACUUAGUAUUGCUUUCCAGUAAUUUCUUAUUCAAAAUAGACAUUGAAAGUCCAGUUGGUUAAAGUUGAAGCCUGGAAAACAUUUUGACCAAUGAAAUCCAUUUCAACUUCUUUUAA